CGCGUCCCGACGCCCCGGGAGGGCCUCGCUGUUCCGAGGAGCCGGAAACCGCGCAGGUCCGCUCUCCCGACCCGCGCGGCUCCCGAGCUUCCGCUCCCCGGAGGCUCUCCCACACCUCCGCUUGCAGGCCCGGUAACUUUGUCCCCCACCACCACGCACCACCACCGAGAUCUGCUCCUUUCGGCUCGGGGUUCGGCCCUGUGGCCCGGCCUGGGUUGGCCACCCAGGCUCUGGCUCCGGGGAAGGUGGCGCCCCGGGUCACCUGACCGCGCGCCGGGUCAAUCAACGCCGGGCCGAAGCGCCAGACGCCGGCCCAGGAGAUGCGCCCUGCGGGGAACCCCGAUCCAGCGCUGCGCGCCCCGAGCAGCCUCUGGAAUGAGCAUCCUUGCUGCUCUCACCCCAUUCCCUUUAUCCAAAGGAUGCGAAAAUGCCCUGAGGAAGUGUUUGCUGAAGCUUCACUGAAGGCUCUAAGGGAAGAGGCAUGAGGAACAAGAGCCAGACUCUGCACGGGGUUAACUCGCUCCACACCAGCUUCAAUAACUGACGACCCUUCCAGAACUCACAUGAUGUCUGAAGAGCUGGGUGUGCACACGAAGAAGGCACCGUGCCCAUCUUCAAAGAGUUCACACACGAGGAGACCAUGAUAAAUUAACAUGAGUCCGCGGGUACAGCCAAGAUGUAACUUGAGCCAGGAGAGGGUUACCCAAGCCACUGGAAGAAGGAACGGAAGGUAUCAAGAAAGUGCACUUGAGCUGAAGCCUUAACAGAUGAGCAGGAACCAUAAAAGACAUCUGUCGCUCUUGGCUCUGCACAGCCCUCCACCUUUUUUUUUCUUCUUUUUCUCGUUUUUUCUUUUUUUCUUUUGUGGUACUAGGGAUUCAACCCAGGCAAGCAAUCUACCACUAAGAUGCAACCCCAGCACUGCCUUCUUUUUGAAGAAACUUUACACUUUCCUUUGGGAGGAUUGUGAAGCUCUCCGGCUCCAAUUAGUUUUGUUUGUUUGUUUGUUUUCUGGAUUUGUCAAUCACAUGUCUGUUUAGCCUAAGACAAGCUAAGAGCAGACUACAGAUUGCAGUGGUGCCCAUAGGGAAUCCUUUAGAAGGAGUUUUCAUAGUGCUGGGAGGGAAAUUACAAUCUUUUCCCCUGAUGUAACAGCAGCCCACCAUCUCUCCAUUUCCGUUUCCUGGUGCAGGCUACUGCUCUGUCCAUCUCUGCAGGGGAAAAUGAAACCAUUGUCUAAGUUGCUGAAAAUAUAUAGUCUGGGGCUGGAGAGAUGGCUUAGCAGUUAAGCGCUUGCCUGUGAAGCCUAAGGACCCCGGUUCGAGGCUCGGUUCCCCAGGUCCCACGUUAGCCAGAUGCACAA